AUUUUCAAUGAUGAGAACCUUUUUAUCUUUCAGUUAUCCCUGUCUGAACAGGUUUAUAUACAUGGUUAACCUAACGUGUCGAUAUCUUUUACUCUGAAGUUAAU
rnacentral:snoRNA from 1 species